rnacentral:rRNA from 1 species
CUACAGGCUUAACACAUGCAAGUCGAGGGGCAGCAUGGUCUUAGCUUGCUAAGGCCGAUGGCGACCGGCGCACGGGUGAGUAACACGUAUCCAACCUGCCGUCUACUCUUGGACAGCCUUCUGAAAGGAAGAUUAAUACAAGAUGGCAUCAUGAGUCCGCAUGUUCACAUGAUUAAAGGUAUUCCGGUAGACGAUGGGGAUGCGUUCCAUUAGAUAGUAGGCGGGGUAACGGCCCACCUAGUCUUCGAUGGAUAGGGGUUCUGAGAGGAAGGUCCCCCACAUUGGAACUGAGACACGGUCCAAACUCCUACGGGAGGCAGCAGUGAGGAAUAUUGGUCAAUGGGCGCAGGCCUGAACCAGCCAAGUAGCGUGAAGGAUGACUGCCCUAUGGGUUGUAAACUUCUUUUAUAAAGGAAUAAAGUCGGGUAUGGAUACCCGUUUGCAUGUACUUUAUGAAUAAGGAUCGGCUAACUCCGUGCCAGCAGCCGCGGUAAUACGGAGGAUCCGAGCGUUAUCCGGAUUUAUUGGGUUUAAAGGGAGCGUAGAUGGAUGUUUAAGUCAGUUGUGAAAGUUUGCGGCUCAACCGUAAAAUUGCAGUUGAUACUGGAUAUCUUGAGUGCAGUUGAGGCAGGCGGAAUUCGUGGUGUAGCGGUGAAAUGCUUAGAUAUCACGAAGAACUCCGAUUGCGAAGGCAGCCUGCUAAGCUGCAACUGACAUUGAGGCUCGAAAGUGUGGGUAUCAAACAGGAUUAGAUACCCUGGUAGUCCACACGGUAAACGAUGAAUACUCGCUGUUUGCGAUAUACGGCAAGCGGCCAAGCGAAAGCGUUAAGUAUUCCACCUGGGGAGUACGCCGGCAACGGUGAAACUCAAAGGAAUUGACGGGGGCCCGCACAAGCGGAGGAACAUGUGGUUUAAUUCGAUGAUACGCGAGGAACCUUACCCGGGCUUAAAUUGCAGAUGAAUUACGGUGAAAGCCGUAAGCCGCAAGGCAUCUGUGAAGGUGCUGCAUGGUUGUCGUCAGCUCGUGCCGUGAGGUGUCGGCUUAAGUGCCAUAACGAGCGCAACCCUUGUUGUCAGUUACUAACAGGUUCCGCUGAGGACUCUGACAAGACUGCCAUCGUAAGAUGUGAGGAAGGUGGGGAUGACGUCAAAUCAGCACGGCCCUUACGUCCGGGGCUACACACGUGUUACAAUGGGGGGUACAGAGGGCCGCUACCACGCGAGUGGAUGCCAAUCCCAAAAACCUCUCUCAGUUCGGACUGGAGUCUGCAACCCGACUCCACGAAGCUGGAUUCGCUAGUAAUCGCGCAUCAGCCACGGCGCGGUGAAUACGUUCCCGGGCCUUGUACACACCGCCCGUCAAGCCAUGGGAGCCGGGGGUACCUGAAGUGCGUAACCGCGAGGAGCGCCCUAGGGUAAAACUGGUGACUGGGGCU